rnacentral:snRNA from 1 species
AUCGCUUCUCGGCCUUUUGGCUCAGAUCAAGUGUAGUAUCUGUUCUUAUCAGUUAAUAUAUUGAUACGUCCCCAUACGGGGGACUACAUAUUAAAUGGAUUUUUCGAACAGGGAGUCGGAAAUGGGGCUUGCUCCGUCCGCUCCACGCAUCGACCCGGUAUUGCAGUACCUCCGGGAACGGUGCAACACUU